AAAACUUUCAACAACGGAUCUCUUGGUUCCCGCAUCGAUGAAGAACGCAGCGAAAUGCGAAAAUUAAUGUGAAUUGCAGAAUUCCGUGAAUCAUCGAGUUUUUGAACGCACAUUGCGCCCUUUGGUAUUCCGAAGGGCAUGCCUGUUCGAGCGUCAUUG
rnacentral:rRNA from 1 species